GUGGCGGACGGGUGAGUAACGCGUGGGUAACCUGCCUCAUACAGGGGGAUAACGGUUAGAAAUGACUGCUAAUACCGCAUAAGCGCACAGUACCACAUGGUACGGUGUGAAAAACUCCGGUGGUAUGAGAUGGACCCGCGUCUGAUUAGCUAGUUGGUGGGGUAACGGCCCACCAAGGCGACGAUCAGUAGCCGACCUGAGAGGGUGACCGGCCACAUUGGGACUGAGACACGGCCCAG
rnacentral:rRNA from 1 species